rnacentral:rRNA from 1 species
CAGUCGCCACGGUAAUACGAAGGGGGCUAGCGUUGCUCGGAAUGACUGGGCGUAAAGGGCGCGUAGGCGGUUUUGACAGUCAGAUGUGAAAUCCCUGGGCUUAACCUGGGGGCUGCAUUUGAGACGUCAAGACUAGAGUGUGAGAGAGGGUUGUGGAAUUCCCAGUGUAGAGGUGAAAUUCGUAGAUAUUCGGAAGAACACCAGUGGCGAAGGCGGCUUACUGGCUCAUACUGGACGCUGAGGUGCGAAAGCGUGGGGAGCAAACAGGAUUAGAUACCCGAGUAGUCCCUGUCUCUUAUAC